rfam:Penicillium marneffei ATCC 18224 scf_1105668340738 genomic scaffold, whole genome shotgun sequence.
GGCUUGGUGGCGCAAUGGUAGCGCAUCUGAUUCCAGCUCAUAGCGAGUAUCCAGGAGGUUGCCCGUUCGAUCCGGGUCCAGGUCA